rnacentral:lncRNA from 1 species
UAUCAAAUUUUUAUUAAUCCAUCUCUCAACAGGUGAAACCUACAGGCCAUCCUCAACAUGGGCAAGUCGCUUCACUUCUCUGUGCCUCAGUUACCUCAUCUGUAAAAUGGGGAUGAAGUAUGUGAGCCCCACGUGGGACAACCUCAUUCCCCUGUGUCUACCCCAGCGCUUAGAACAGUGCUCUGCACAUAGUAAGCGCUUAACAACUACCAUCAUCAACUUAUCAUAAUCGCUUUUCAUCAAAACUUAAAAUGGAAUUUCUAAAUUUGCACCUGUUUUCAGUUUCACAACACGUCAGCUUUGACUUUCCAACACUUCCCUCUUUAAGUGACACUAGCCUGGGGUCACCGAAAGUGUGUGGAAGUAUACGACUGCGUUGGUUGGGGUAAGAGGAAGGGCAGGGAUCCGAUGUGUGACGUGGAGCACAGGGGAGAGAGCCAAUCCAGAAGCGACCUGCUUUCCCAGGGCUUGAGGUAGAAGCUGAGGAGAGGUCUUAACAGCUAAGGUCAGUCCAUUCUAAGGGAGAACAAAUUGACAGAUUGUGAUGGGGAAUGCGAAGAUGGGUGCUGGAC